rnacentral:lncRNA from 12 species
GGGAACAUAGGAUGGCAUGUGGCAAGGUCACAGGACCACAGGAUCACGAGGUUGGAAGAGACCUUCAGGAUCAUUGAGUCCAGACCAAGCCUCUCAGUCACCUCUGCCUAUCAACACCUCAAUGCAGG